UACGUAGGGGGCUAGCGUUGUCCGGAAUCAUUGGGCGUAAAGCGCGUGUAGGCGGCCUGCUAAGUCCGCUCUGAAAGCCCAGGGCUCAACCCUGGGAGGCGGGUGGAUACUGGCAGGCUCGAGUCCGGAAGAGGCGAGUGGAAUUCCUGGUGUAGCGGUGAAAUGCGUAGAGAUCGGAAAGAACACCAACGGCGAAAGCACUCUGCUGGGCCGACACUGACACUGAGAGACGAAAGCUAGGGGAGCGAAUGGG
rnacentral:rRNA from 1 species